UACGUAGGGCGCAAGCGUUGUCCGGAAUUAUUGGGCGUAAAGAGCGCGCAGGCGGUCGUGCAAGUCGCGUGUGAAAGCCCCCGGCUCAACUGGGGAGGGUCACGCGAUACUGCUCGACUCGAAGGCAGGAGAGGGAAGUGGAAUUCCCGGUGUAGUGGUGAAAUGCGUAGAUAUCGGGAGGAACACCAGUGGCGAAGGCGACUUCCUGGCCUGUUCUUGACGCUGAGGCGCGAAAGCUAGGGGAGCAAACAGG
rnacentral:rRNA from 1 species